AGCGUACACGGUGGAUGCCCUGGCAGUCAGAGGCGAUGAAGGACGUGCUAAUCUGCGAUAAGCGUCGGUGAGGUGAUAUGAACCGUUAUAACCGGCGAUUUCCGAAUGGGGAAACCCAGUGUGUUUCGACACACUAUCAUUAACUGAAUCCAUAGGUUAAUGAGGCGAACCGGGGGAACUGAAACAUCUAAGUACCCCGAGGAAAAGAAAUCAACCGAGAUUCCCCCAGUAGCGGCGAGCGAACGGGGAGGAGCCCAGAGCCUGAAUCAGUGUGUGUGUUAGUGGAAGCGUCUGGAAAGGCGCGCGAUACAGGGUGACAGCCCCGUACACAAAAAUGCACAUAUUGUGAGCUCGAUGAGUAGGGCGGGACACGUGGUAUCCUGUCUGAAUAUGGGGGGACCAUCCUCCAAGGCUAAAUACUCCUGACUGACCGAUAGUGAACCAGUACCGUGAGGGAAAGGCGAAAAGAACCCCGGCGAGGGGAGUGAAAAAGAACCUGAAACCGUGUACGUACAAGCAGUGGGAGCCUCUUAAUGGGGUGACUGCGUACCUUUUGUAUAAUGGGUCAGCGACUUAUAUUCUGUAGCAAGGUUAACCGAAUAGGGGAGCCGAAGGGAAACCGAGUCUUAACUGGGCGUUAAGUUGCAGGGUAUAGACCCGAAACCCGGUGAUCUAGCCAUGGGCAGGUUGAAGGUUGGGUAACACUAACUGGAGGACCGAACCGACUAAUGUUGAAAAAUUAGCGGAUGACUUGUGGCUGGGGGUGAAAGGCCAAUCAAACCGGGAGAUAGCUGGUUCUCCCCGAAAGCUAUUUAGGUAGCGCCUCGUGAAUUCAUCUCCGGGGGUAGAGCACUGUUUCGGCAAGGGGGUCAUCCCGACUUACCAACCCGAUGCAAACUGCGAAUACCGGAGAAUGUUAUCACGGGAGACACACGGCGGGUGCUAACGUCCGUCGUGAAGAGGGAAACAACCCAGACCGCCAGCUAAGGUCCCAAAGUCAUGGUUAAGUGGGAAACGAUGUGGGAAGGCCCAGACAGCCAGGAUGUUGGCUUAGAAGCAGCCAUCAUUUAAAGAAAGCGUAAUAGCUCACUGGUCGAGUCGGCCUGCGCGGAAGAUGUAACGGGGCUAAACCAUGCACCGAAGCUGCGGCAGCGACACUAUGUGUUGUUGGGUAGGGGAGCGUUCUGUAAGCCUGUGAAGGUGGCCUGUGAGGGUUGCUGGAGGUAUCAGAAGUGCGAAUGCUGACAUAAGUAACGAUAAAGCGGGUGAAAAGCCCGCUCGCCGGAAGACCAAGGGUUCCUGUCCAACGUUAAUCGGGGCAGGGUGAGUCGACCCCUAAGGCGAGGCCGAAAGGCGUAGUCGAUGGGAAACAGGUUAAUAUUCCUGUACUUGGUGUUACUGCGAAGGGGGGACGGAGAAGGCUAUGUUGGCCGGGCGACGGUUGUCCCGGUUUAAGCGUGUAGGCUGGUUUUCCAGGCAAAUCCGGAAAACCAAGGCUGAGGCGUGAUGACGAGGCACUACGGUGCUGAAGCGACAAAUGCCCUGCUUCCAGGAAAAGCCUCUAAGCAUCAGGUAACAUCAAAUCGUACCCCAAACCGACACAGGUGGUCAGGUAGAGAAUACCAAGGCGCUUGAGAGAACUCGGGUGAAGGAACUAGGCAAAAUGGUGCCGUAACUUCGGGAGAAGGCACGCUGAUAUGUAGGUGAAGCGACUUGCUCGUGGAGCUGAAAUCAGUCGAAGAUACCAGCUGGCUGCAACUGUUUAUUAAAAACACAGCACUGUGCAAACACGAAAGUGGACGUAUACGGUGUGACGCCUGCCCGGUGCCGGAAGGUUAAUUGAUGGGGUUAGCGGUAACGCGAAGCUCUUGAUCGAAGCCCCGGUAAACGGCGGCCGUAACUAUAACGGUCCUAAGGUAGCGAAAUUCCUUGUCGGGUAAGUUCCGACCUGCACGAAUGGCGUAAUGAUGGCCAGGCUGUCUCCACCCGAGACUCAGUGAAAUUGAACUCGCUGUGAAGAUGCAGUGUACCCGCGGCAAGACGGAAAGACCCCGUGAACCUUUACUAUAGCUUGACACUGAACAUUGAGCCUUGAUGUGUAGGAUAGGUGGGAGGCUUUGAAGUGUGGACGCCAGUCUGCAUGGAGCCGACCUUGAAAUACCACCCUUUAAUGUUUGAUGUUCUAACGUUGGCCCGUAAUCCGGGUUGCGGACAGUGUCUGGUGGGUAGUUUGACUGGGGCGGUCUCCUCCUAAAGAGUAACGGAGGAGCACGAAGGUUGGCUAAUCCUGGUCGGACAUCAGGAGGUUAGUGCAAUGGCAUAAGCCAGCUUGACUGCGAGCGUGACGGCGCGAGCAGGUGCGAAAGCAGGUCAUAGUGAUCCGGUGGUUCUGAAUGGAAGGGCCAUCGCUCAACGGAUAAAAGGUACUCCGGGGAUAACAGGCUGAUACCGCCCAAGAGUUCAUAUCGACGGCGGUGUUUGGCACCUCGAUGUCGGCUCAUCACAUCCUGGGGCUGAAGUAGGUCCCAAGGGUAUGGCUGUUCGCCAUUUAAAGUGGUACGCGAGCUGGGUUUAGAACGUCGUGAGACAGUUCGGUCCCUAUCUGCCGUGGGCGCUGGAGAACUGAGGGGGGCUGCUCCUAGUACGAGAGGACCGGAGUGGACGCAUCACUGGUGUUCGGGUUGUCAUGCCAAUGGCACUGCCCGGUAGCUAAAUGCGGAAGAGAUAAGUGCUGAAAGCAUCUAAGCACGAAACUUGCCCCGAGAUGAGUUCU
rnacentral:rRNA from 1 species